rnacentral:rRNA from 1 species
ACGAAGGGGGCUAGCGUUGCUCGGAAUCACUGGGCGUAAAGCGCACGUAGGCGGCUUUCUAAGUCAGGGGUGAAAUCCUGGAGCUCAACCCCAGAACUGCCUUUGAUACUGGAGAGCUUGAGUCCGGGAGAGGUGAGUGGAACUCCGAGUGUAGAGGUGAAAUUCGUAGAUAUUCGGAAGAACACCAGUGGCGAAGGCGAGUCCCUGGACAACUUCUGACGCUGAGGCACGAAAGCUAGGGGAGCAAACAGGA